UAAUCAUCUCCAUCUGAUUAUAAUCAAAGUUAAAUUCUGUUACUUGAUCGAGAUUACUACUACAAACCCCUUAUUUACAUUCUGUACUACUUGUUAGUUCCAGCAAAUGAGAGAUAUAUUUCCAUGUAUUCCUUUGGGUUCUACCCUAACCUGAGUUGGAAGUGUAGUUUGGGUGUUAAUUAAAAUUUUGGUGCCUUUGUC
rnacentral:lncRNA from 1 species